CAGAAUUGUUUUCCAAACUAGAUCUCCCACCUGAAAUGUUUUGGCUUUAACUUUUUUGUUGUAUGCCUUAGCCCUCGAACUUUAUCCCUUUCAAUCUUAGCUAAAGCUUCCAUCCGCUUGUCGGUCACUUCAUCAACAUUAUCCAUCAUCAAAGCAUAAUAAGUAUCGAAAUGAAGAUUAUCUUGCUUAGCUAACCUAUAUCCACCC
rnacentral:lncRNA from 1 species